rnacentral:misc_RNA from 1 species
GAUGAAGAACGUAGCGAAAUGCGAUAAGUAAUGUGAAUUGCAGAAUUCAGUGAAUCAUCGAAUCUUUGAACGCACAUUGCGCCCUCUGGUAUUCCGGGGGGCAUGCCUGUUCGAGCGUCAUUAUAACCACUCAAGCUCUCGCUUGGUAUUGGAGUUCGCGAUCUCUCGGCUCCUAAAAUCAGUGGCGGUGCCUGUCGGCUCUACGCGUAGUAAUACUCCUCGCGAUUGAGUCCGGUAGGUUUACUUGCCAGCAACCCCCAAUUUUUACAGGUUGACCUCGGAUCAGGUAGGGAUACCCGCUGAACUUAAGCAUAUCAAUAAGCGGAGGA